rnacentral:rRNA from 1 species
AAAGUCUAACCUGCCCAAUGAUUAUUAUUAAAUGGCCGCGAUAUUUUGAUCGUGCAAAGGUAGCAUAAUAAUUAGUUUUUUAAUUGAGAACUGGUAUGAAUGGUUGGACGAGAGAAAAGCUGUCUCAAUUUAAUUUUAAUUAGAAUUUUAUAUUUAAGUUAAAAAGCUUAAAUAAUUUUAAAAGACGAGAAGACCCUAUAGAGUUUUAUAUAGCUAUGGAUUUUAAAUUAAUUUAGAAUCAUUAUUUUUUAUUUAUAGUUGUAUUUGAUUGGGGUGAUUAAAAAAUUGAAUUAACUUUUUUUAUAUUAUAACAUUAAUUUAUGAAUAAUUGAUCCA